UACAGAGGUGGCAAGCGUUGUUCGGAAUUACUGGGCGUAAAGGGCGCGUAGGUGGCCUUCUUAGUCAGACGUGAAAUCCCCAGGCUUAACCUGGGAACUGCGUCUGAUACUGGAAGGCUCGAGUUCGGGAGAGGAAUGUGGAAUUCCAGGUGUAGCGGUGAAAUGCGUAGAUAUCUGGAGGAACACCGGUGGCGAAGGCGGCAUUCUGGACCGAAACUGACGCUGGGGCGCGAAAGCCAGGGGAGCAAACGGG
rnacentral:rRNA from 1 species